rnacentral:lncRNA from 1 species
GUUGUUAGAGAAUCCCUUGGUAUGGUAUUUUGCCCAGCGUCAACUGUCAACUUGACAUAGUCAAGAGCCAAUUGCUAAGAGAGUCUCAAAUGAGUGUCCUUUUCAGCAAUCUGGAAGCUGAAAUAAGCCCUUUCCUUCUUAAAGGGGGUUUUGGUCACGAUAUUUGUGGCAGCAACUGAAUCAAACUGGAAUAUUUGGAAUCUACGCCUUUUGAUGGGACUAUAAACAUCUUUUCACAGCUUCUGAACUACAUCCCAUAAUAUACAUGACCGCAUCCAUCACAGACAGCCAAGAGGCUGCUUCUGGGAUUUUUUUCCAUCCAGUAAUAUCUCUCUGGGUAAGAUGAUACACACGUCACUCACUUCAGGCCAGGGACAGGUGUGUUGUCUUUUGAUUUUUCUGCACACCGGUCUUCACCACCAUGUCUCAUGCCCAGCCUGCAUCAAGAGAUGGCUUGCCCCGAGCCAAUAUGAUUACAGAGGAAAAACAACAAAACCCUCUGACAUGGCUGGCUUUGAUGGGUCUAGUGUUAUUUGCUGCCCCCUUGUGGUCAGACUGGAUUCCCUCAUUCGCCUCUCCAGGACGUAUAGCAGGUUUCUGAAGAGAAAGCUUGGCAGAGUUUUGUUAGGAGGAACAGAGAGAAAGGUUGAAACUGGCGAGAGUUUUAAAUAAGAAAAGACUAAUGAAAUGGUUGCUACACUUGACACUCU